rnacentral:rRNA from 1 species
GUAGGUGGCAAGCGUUGUCCGGAGUUAUUGGGCGUAAAGCGCGCGCAGGCGGUUCUUUAAGUCUGAUGUGAAAGCCCACGGCUCAACCGUGGAGGGUCAUUGGAAACUGGAGAACUUGAGUACAGAAGAGGAAAGCGGAAUUCCACGUGUAGCGGUGAAAUGCGUAGAGAUGUGGAGGAACACCAGUGGCGAAGGCGGCUUUUCUGGUCUGUAACUGACGCUGAGGCGCGAAAGCGUGGGGAGCAAACAGGGAUUAGAUACCCUGGUAGUCCACGCCGUAAACGAUGAGUGCUAAGUGUUAGGGGGGUUUCCGCCCCCUUAGUGCUGCAGCUAACGCAUUAAGCACUCCGCCUGGGGAUACGGCCGCAAGGCUG